CCGUGGACUCUCGAUCAGAGUCGAAUUCCGAGUUGGGAGGGAGUCAACUCCCCCCUCCUGUCUCUAUUUAAAGAGCUAAAAUCCUUGAGAAAACUCCACCAUCGACCAUCGAAUCAUUGUCGAAAAAGCUACCGCUCCCUUCUUCCCUUAAAUGUUCUUCACUUUAGUGCUGCUGGAAUCAAGGCCAUAGCUCAUAAAAAAAAGAAGAAGAAGAAGAAGAAGAAGAAAGAGAAAGAGAAGUCUCUCUAAUCUUUCUCUCAUCUUCCAUAGUCUUUAGGUGUUGGAAUUCCAGCUGGCUAUCACCAGAUUUCUUCUUGAAAAGCUGAACAUCCGAAUCCUUAUUUUCUUUAAUUUUCUUCGGCUGCUUCCCUUGAUGUUCUGACAGCAACCAUCAUCGUCCAGUGGCGUAGUUAAG
rnacentral:lncRNA from 1 species